AACGAACGCUGGCGGCAGGCCUAACACAUGCAAGUCGAGCGAGGACUUCGGUCCUAGCGGCGGACGGGUGAGUAACGCGUGGGAACGUGCCCUUUGCUUCGGAAUAGCCCUGGGAAACUGGGAGUAAUACCGGAUGAGCCCUUUGGGGGAAAGAUUUAUCGGCGAAGGAUCGGCCCGCGUUGGAUUAGGUAGUUGGUGGGGUAAUGGCCUACCAAGCCGACGAUCCAUAGCUGGUUUGAGAGGAUGAUCAGCCACACUGGGACUGAGACACGGCCCAGACUCCUACGGGAGGCAGCAGUGGGGAAUCUUAGACAAUGGGGAAAACCCUGAUCUAGCCAUGCCGCGUGAGCGAUGAAGGCCUUAGGGUUGUAAAGCUCUUUCAGCUGGGAAGAUAAUGACGGUACCAGCAGAAGAAGCCCCGGCUAACUCCGUG
rnacentral:rRNA from 1 species